rnacentral:piRNA from 1 species
UUUAUUUAUUGAAGCGUUUGA